UCUAUUAAAAAUUUUAUUAGAAUAUUAUUUGUUGAUCUAAAUUAAUUUUAAAAGUAUUGGCGGUAAUAAGUUAAAUUCUGAGGAACUUGUUUAUUUAAAUUGAUAUUUCACAUUAAAUUUUACUUAUAAUAUUUUUUUAUGUAUUGCUGUUUUAUUAAUUAUUUAUAAUAUUAAAUUAAUAAAAUUUACAAUAGUUUUUGUAGAGAAAUUCAAGUCAAAAUGUAGAUUUUUAUAAGGAUGAAUGAGUUACAUUUAUAAUGAAAUAUGAAGCUGUAAAGUUAAUUGAAAUUAUUAAUGAGUAAGGUUGGAUUAGGGUGUAAAAAAAGAAUAAUUAAUUUUUUUGAUAAAAUUUACUUUUAUGU
rnacentral:rRNA from 1 species